rnacentral:lncRNA from 1 species
UGAGACUUUUAAAAAAAUCAAGAUGGGUAACUCUUGAGGAAUAACACUUGAGGUAGAUUUUUGGGUCUCUGCUUGCACAGGUGUGUGCCCUCUUGAGAACUCUCUCUCUCUCUCUCUCUCUCUCUCUCUCUCUCUCUCUCUCUCUCUCUCAUACACACACACACACACACACACAACAUUCACUCAAAGAUGGACGUGUUUCAGCUGCCUCCCUUCAUGUGUACCCCAUAGUCAUUCUUUGGCCCUAGGAGAAGCUUUUCUACUAAGACAAAGUCUGCUGUCUCCCAUUUCUCAGCCACAUUGCUCUUAGUUUAGAUGACCCCCAUCAGCUUAGGUAGUUUUGCCAUUUUCUGGAUCAACCCAACUCACAAAGGAAUCUCCUUUCAGAUAUCGGGACCAGAUGAGCAUCUAGACCUGGGGAGGCAGCCUUUGGUCAAGAGGGAGUUAUGAAGGAAGGCUGAACAGUCUACACACUGAAGAGAAGAGCAACUCAGAGGCUGUUACCUGUGGCCAGGAUUGUCUAGUUCCCCAAAGAGAGAUUUGGGGCCCAUGUAUUUUGCCUUCUCGGUAAUAAGUCUUUUAUGUCUGGAUCCUAGUGGUAUGUGUAUGCUAGUUUUAAAAAAACAUCAUGGGGCAGGGGAACAGGAGAAGUGAGAUUUUGAUGUCAGCAAGCCUGUCAUUUUAGCUCCUUGCUUUUAACAUGGCAAGGCUGGGCACAGCUGCCUAAGACCAUCUCUCGAUGACAUCCAGAGUGCUGUCUUAUUUGAAGCCAUCUGUUUUCUGGGAGUUGAUGUCUUAAACAUCUGCUGGAUUUUCCAUAGUGGAAGAGCCAUUAGGUCAUGCCCACGGGAUGAUGGAAAUCACCUGAUCCACCUGCUGACUGCUUUCCAACCAACCUCUGUUUUCAUGAUCAGGACUAGAUUUCACUCCACAUCCCUGGUAUCUUAUGGGGUUUGGGGACUCGAUUCUGUCACAUAGCAACACUCCAGUCCUCAAAUGGCCCUGGCAACCUUUCUAUAGAGAUAUGAGUGUAGACUUGUAAAGAGUUGAGAAGACGUUCUCUACAGUGAAGUCUGGCCUCCUGUUCAGGAGACUGCAGUUUGAAGAUCAAAGGGAGACUUUGGAAAUGACCACUGACUGUGGAUAAGAUUCAUAAAGCUAGGCUUGUGGGAAGUAGUGCCAAGCCCCCAAGAGCCCUGUACUUGUGGCGAGUUCUAGGGUGGUCUGGAGACCUCAGCUCUGGUCCUUUGCUUCCACUAGCCUAAGAUCGCAUGCCAGUCAUCCCUCCCUGCCUUUGAGCUCAGCUUUCUCCUGCACAACAGAUCAGGAGAGUAAAGAAGUUGAUUGCGUAUCAGGUUUGUUGCCCUGCUCGCUCACCCUGACUGGUGUCUAAGCAUUUCCUGCUAGGUUAGCCCAUUGUCCCUUUAGCAAUACAAGCAGGAUUCAGGGCUGUCCCAUCCCGGGGAUGUCCAUUACCGAAGAAUACUUCAAAGAUGUUUGCACAUGUUGUCAGUUGCACUGAGCAUGAGUUUGUUGAAGGAAUAAGCAAAUAGACAUACAGCCGGUGACAGGAAUGCCUGGGCCACUUACCCCUGGGUGACUGUUAAGGCAAGGGGUGGGAGAGACUCUGCAUGCCAUUUUGACC